rnacentral:rRNA from 1 species
GCAGGAAUGAGAGUUAAUAUAAGAGGUUUAUUAACUUGCUUGACUAGGUCUUAUAAAGUUCUGGAUAAAGCUGAUAAUGACAACUUUAUAUCCAUAGGUCUCGACUAAAUCUUGUGCCAGCAGUCGCGGUAAGACAAGGGAGACGAGUGUUAUUCAUCUUAAACAGGUAUAUUGGGUACCUAGACUGUGUACAAAGGCUUUUAUAGUACCUGUUACACUAGAGUUUAAUAUGUGAGAGGAAGAUGUCAGAAUUAUUGGUGUAGGGAUGAAAUACUGUAAUACCAAUAGGACUGGUAAUGGCGAAGGCCAAACCUCUAUGUAUAUAUACUUUACUUUAUAGAUUUUAAAAAUAAUGAAUAUAUGUAAAGAACCGGAUAUAAAUGAAUUUAAACAACACAUAUCUUAUGUAUGUAAUAAAUCCGUAAAAUACUAUAACUAUCUUAAAAAAGGUGUGAUAAUAUAUAAAAAAAAUUAUCAUGUAAAGUAUUAUAACUGACGUUGAGGGACGAAGGCUCAGAGAGUGAAGAGGAUUAGAUACCCCCGUAGCCUGGGCAGACAAUGAUGAGUGCCAUAGGUUGGCUUUAAGUUGAACUAUAAAUGAAAGUGGAAGCACUCCACCUCAAGAGUAAUGUGGCAACGCAGGAACUGAAAUCAUUAGACCGUUUCUGAAACCAGUAGUGAAGUAUGUUAUUUAAUUCGAUGAUCCACGAAUAACCUUACCACAAUUUGAAUGAUCUAAAUGGAUAAACUUUCUAUUUAGACCACAUGCGUUGCAUGGCUGUCUUCAGUUAAUGUCGUGAGAUUUGGUUAGGUCCAUUAAAUUAACGUAAACCCUUGUUUUAUUUUAUGUUAUAAGGCAGCUCUCCGCUUACAAUUGGAUUGAUAAAAGGGACUAAGACAAGUCAUCAUGGCCUUAAUAUUGUGGGCUAUAGACGUGCCACAUAUGCCUUUACAAAGGGAUGCAAGAAUGNAAUNGAG